rnacentral:rRNA from 1 species
AGAGUUUGAUCAUGGCUCAGAUUGAACGCUGGCGGCAUGCCUUACACAUGCAAGUCGAACGGCAGCACGGGGGCAACCCUGGUGGCGAGUGGCGAACGGGUGAGUAAUACAUCGGAACGUGCCCUGAAGUGGGGGAUAACGUAGCGAAAGUUACGCUAAUACCGCAUAUUCUGUGAGCAGGAAAGCAGGGGAUCGCAAGACCUUGCGCUUUAGGAGCGGCCGAUGUCGGAUUAGCUAGUUGGUGGGGUAAAGGCCCACCAAGGCGACGAUCCGUAGCGGGUCUGAGAGGAUGAUCCGCCACACUGGGACUGAGACACGGCCCAGACUCCUACGGGAGGCAGCAGUGGGGAAUUUUGGACAAUGGGCGCAAGCCUGAUCCAGCCAUGCCGCGUGAGUGAAGAAGGCCUUCGGGUUGUAAAGCUCUUUCGGCGGGGAAGAAAUCGCACAGGUUAAUACCCUGGGUGGAUGACGGUACCCGAAUAAGAAGCACCGGCUAACUACGUGCCAGCAGCCGCGGUAAUACGUAGGGUGCGAGCGUUAAUCGGAAUUACUGGGCGUAAAGCGUGCGCAGGCGGUUUUGUAAGUCAGAUGUGAAAUCCCCGGGCUCAACCUGGGAACUGCAUUUGAGACUGCAAGGCUAGAGUGUGGCAGAGGGGGGUGGAAUUCCACGUGUAGCAGUGAAAUGCGUAGAGAUGUGGAGGAACACCGAUGGCGAAGGCAGCCCCCUGGGCCAAUACUGACGCUCAUGCACGAAAGCGUGGGGAGCAAACAGGAUUAGAUACCCUGGUAGUCCACGCCCUAAACGAUGUCAACUAGGUGUUGGAAGGGUUAAACCUUUUAGUGCCGUAGCUAACGCGUGAAGUUGACCGCCUGGGGAGUACGGCCGCAAGGCUAAAACUCAAAGGAAUUG